UCCGAGAUCGUCUGGCCAUGUUUAUUGUUCCUCAUCCUGGCCGGGGUGAGGGUUCAGAACCCCCUGAAACAUCGCGCAAACUGCUACAUGGAGCCUCGUACCUUGCCCAGUGGAGGACUUUACCCAUUUGUUCAAAGUCUCUUUUGUGACGAGGGUUCCCAUUGCUAUGGGGAUGCUAUGUCUCAGAAAACAAGGUCAUCUGGCACCCUGAGGAAUACCAUAAACAAUCAAAACGGUGUCCUGAGUUCAUUACAAGACAUUGGAAAGCAAAUCAAUGAAACCCUGACAAGCGCAGCUAACUUAC